rnacentral:misc_RNA from 1 species
AACAAGCUUGGUCUGUUG